GAUGGAGGUCUGGUCUACAACUCUACAGAGCUCAACUCAUCCAGUUCUGACAUAAGGGUUGCAGGAGCAGGUUGUCAUGAGAACGGCAAUGGGACGGCUCCCAGACAGCGACUAGAGGAGCAGCAGUGGUACAUAGAGUGUUUACGAGAGGAGAUUCAGAUGGAGCAGAAAAGAGCGGAGAGAGAUCUGGAAAGAGAGCAGGCACGUCUCCGACAGCAGCACACUGAGAUCAAGCAGUGGAUCGUGCAGGAAAAGCAACGGCUUGAAGCCCACAGGGAAAAGGGAACAUUGGAGUCAGGGGUUCAGACAGAUCUCAUACUUCAUAAUGGACUAUCAAGUCAGAUGAUGAAGGAGAAAGGCAGUGCUGAAAGAGUCCCACCAUCACCUUUAAUGGGUGACUGGAAAAGAGUGGUGCAGGAGGAGCUGCUGAAGCACCAUGCAUUGCGCAGAGCUGAGAACCGUGUGCGCCGCAAAAGGUUACAUUACCAACUGGAGAAGAUUGCACGAAAGCGCCAUCUGUUGGAGGUGAAGCGAGUGCUGCAGAGGCUAGAAAAUGAGCUUCUACAAGGGGGCGACCUGGGCUACCCCUCAAAGUCCAGGGGACGUCCAAUGACUUUACGAAGGCAUUCAUUUUCUGCUGAUCUGCUGUCCCGACUGUACCCCCAGCACACUCCUAUUUUCAGCCAGUUCCUCAAAAGGAAUAGAUCUUCUGAGUUUACAGUGUCUCUAUCUGGCUUUGCUUGUGCCACUAAAUGGGAAUCAGAUGAAUGUCUCCGAGAUCAAAAGAUUAGAAGACGUUCAAAUACAAUGCCCUCAAGAUAUGACCAAGGAUCCUCAAGUUUGGCCAGUUUUUCUGACAGCAUCAAAAGUCCCAUAAAAGAUGCAAGUUCAACUGAUGCUACAAAAUUAAGAACUGCCUCCUCAAAGUUGAUAGUCAAGAACAGCACAAGUGUCCAAGACAAGAAUUGUCUGGACUCAAACACCAAAGCCACAAGAAAAGUAUUACCAAUAAUAAAACAGAAAAGUUCUGUGAAGGGAACAAAGACUCUGUCUCAAGGUGGAAAUAAAGGUUUGGAGACCAUCCGCAAGGUUUUUUCCCACUCCGUUGGCUCUGGGUUCAGAAGUGCUUUGGGAAAAGUUUUCCGCAAGCCACCAUCAGGCUCACGGGGACAUAGAAGUGUAAAAUGUGUGAAUAAAACGAUAAGUAAGCUUAAUGAGAAAUCAAACAAAAACAAGACUGUGAAAGACUUUGAGCAAAAACAGGAAAAUUGCCCUAUCAAGUCGACAAUGUCUUAUGAAAGUUUGGAGCAGCUUACCUCACUAAAACAUAUGCAACAGAGACAAUGGCGUAGUGCAGAAGUUCUAACGAGUACCAAGCAAUGGGUUGCAGUGCAAAAAGAAACAGCUGAAUGGGUGGAACAUGGUGGUUGGGAGGAUCCGAACAGAUCUUCAGAUUGUGAUAGUAUCUUCUCAUUGGAUUCACUGUCAUCAGCUUAUGCUACAGUUCUGGCUGAGCAACUUCAGCAGGAGGAAUGUGAUUCCAGUGACGCUGAGAGUGAAGACAGUCAGAUGUCUCAAGAUUCUCUUGUUAUGGAGAGCAGUGGGAAGCAUGUGACUGCCAGACCAAUGCUGAGGUUUAAAAAAGUUUCAAGCCACUUAACCACCUCUACAAUACGGGCUUCAUGCAGCUCUCAGGCAAUUGGCAAUAAAGAGCAGAUGAGAAUAUCCAAAGAUGUACCUGCAGAGGUUUUCUGGAGCCUUAAUGGUAGUCAGAAGUUGAAAACGGAGAAUGGCCAAGGCAUGGCUAGAGAGCCUUCACACAUCUCUUGUCUAGCAUCUGAAUCAAGACCUUGUAGUGGUGCAAGUAUGAGAGAGACAGAGAAUCUACUUGCUCUUACUGAUGCUUGGUCAUCUACUGAUGCAGCGGACAGUCCCAGAAUCAUCAGGGCUUCAGGACACUUGAUCAAACAGGAUCCACACACACUAAUAGAGAGCAGUAGAUGCCAAAGCUCUACAAGCCUGGAUCUAUCAGACAACAUGAAUGCCUCAGAAAGCCAGAGCUCACCUCUUUCUGACUCCACUCAGGAUGGAAAUACAACACUUGAAGAACAAAAUGACACAUCCUUUGAAAAUACCCUGUUGUUAGAGAAUGAUCUCAGUUUUAUCCCAGGGCAGGAGAGCUAUUUUAAUGAACUGACUACCAAUGCAGGACCAUGUACAACUCACACAGUCUGCGACUCUACAGACUCUUCAGAUGGGGAAGCAGACCCAAAUACCCCAACCACUGAAUAUGAACCACUGAAUCCCACUGUGACUGAAGCAUUGCUGAUCAACUCUUGUUCCAACGAUGGUGAGAUCUCAAUAAAUACCACUUGCUUCCCAGUUAACUCUAGUAGGGAAGAUUUACAUGUUAGAGAGGAGCCAUCAUCAUCCCCAGUGUACCCUGAGGAUUGUUCUCUGAAGUCAAACUUAAACCUGACAGCAGGUUAUCAGGUUUCAACAUGUGACAAUGCAGGAGAUCCAGAAGUUAAAAACUCAAAAGCAGCACAGAUUCUAAAUGAAUCACACAACAAUGCAAGCUUUGCCAAUGACAAAACCAUUGCACAAUGUGAUGAAGAAAAUAAGUACUUCUAUACAAAAGAGUGCACAGAAAUGGCUUGCACAACAGAUACCAAAGAUUAUGCAUUGACAAUCGAACAAUCAGACAAGCAUGGUG
rnacentral:lncRNA from 1 species